UGGCAAGUUAAUGGUUUCAAAGCAGAUUUUACUGCACCAGGAAAGAAGUCAAUAAUGAAAGGAUGUUGUUUGCUGAAAAUUUUAAAAGAAGCUGCCCAUGGAAACUUAACAAGAUAUAUCUCCUUUCUGUGAUAGAUGUAAUAGUGGAGAAGCUUCAUUAAUUCACAUGUUUUGGACAUGUCCGAGCCUUGAAAGACUGGAAGGAAGUACUCCAAACUUUCUCAGUACUUUACAAGAUGUGACCAAGACAACACUGGAGGACAGUGCUUUCAAGUGCAGUCGCUGCAGCCGAGAUUGUCACUCCCAUGUGGGACUCUACAGUCACAACAGACGCUGCUCUAACAUAGACUGAAGCAAGACUUUCCAGGCGCAGAUCCAUGGUCUCUCGAGACUAACAGAUGCCACCACAAAAUGUAAAGUUAGUGAAAUAGGUCUAUAACUGGAAGGAUCUGAUUGAUCCUGACCAGCUUUCAAUAUACAGGUAACAACCACUAAUUUCCAGGAAGCAGGAAGUCACUCUUCAACUCUUAUUCAAUUAAAG